rnacentral:rRNA from 1 species
UACGUAGGGGGCAAGCGUUAUCCGGAUUUACUGGGUGUAAAGGGAGCGUAGGCGGCUUAGUAAGUCAGAAGUGAAAGCCCGCAGCUCAACUGCGGGACUGCUUUUGAAACUGCCAUGCUGGAGUGCCGGAGAGGUAAGCGGAAUUCCUAGUGUAGCGGUGAAAUGCGUAGAUAUUAGGAGGAACACCAGUGGCGGAGGCGGCUUACUGGACGGUAACUGACGCUGAGGCUCGAAAGCGUGGGGAGCAAACAGG